GGCAAACCAAUAGGCCAUUUUGUUAGUGUUUGAUGUGGGUAGGCCUAGCCCAGUAUAGCUUAUUGUGUGGGUGUGGCUACUUCUGGGCUGGUGCUCCUGGGUUCUAUAAGAAAACAGGUUGAACUAGCUAUGAGGAGCAAGCCAGUAAACUGACUCCUCCUUGGUCCCUGUAUCAGCCCCUACCUCCUGUUUCCUGCCCUAUUUGAGUUCCUGACUUGACUUCCUUCAAGGAUGAACAAUAAUGUGGAAGCAGAAGCCAAAUAAACCCAUUCUUCCUCAGCUUUCUUUCGUUCAAGGUGUUUCAUCACAACACUAGCAACCCUAGGGAGGACAAUUGCUACCUGUCCAGAACUCGUUAUUGGAUGAAGGUUUAUAAUUGAGCUACAUGGCAAGAAGAUCUGAGUGCUUUGUGAGUGGACACAGCUUCACCUCGAAAGUCAAGGAAAAGUUUUGCUGAUGAAAGACCAUUUCUGUUCAGACCAGGAAGAUCAAUGGCAGCGGUAAAGGAACAUCCCAGUGAUGUCUUAUUUUUAGCUACCGAGUAAAGUGAGGCGAUUCUCCAGGUGCUGGGCUGUCUCCAUUAGAAGCUCCUCUCGGUUGUCAAGGGAUGCCUCAGCCUCACGCCGGAAACUGGCCCACCUCUGGAAGUCCUCUUCAUUUACAACCUAUGAGACAGAAGAGGAUUAUCAGUAACCUUGAAUGGAUCAGCAAAUGGAAUUCUUCCUUGUUACUGAUAUGCUGGCCUCCUGUAAGCCUGUAGACUUCACAGAAUUGGGCAUGGAAUUCUCCACAGUGAUAUUUUGAAUGCAUAAGUUGAUGAAAGAUUAAACCUUAGAUAGCCUUAUGCCCAGAAUAUGGAUAAUAUGAAGUUGAUGGGUUAUUGUGGUGGUAGAGAGGUAGGGCAAUUCCAGGAGAAGUUAAGGUGAGGGGUUGGAGGGGGUGAACAUGGUCAAAAUAUAUUGUAUGAAAUUAUCAAGGAAUUAAUAAAAAUAUUUAAAA